UAUCAUCAAAAUUUGACAAAAUUCUCUAAAAAUUGCAUGAAACUUUGUUAAAACAUAAUUUUUUAAAUUUCAAAAAAAUAUCUUGAAAAUAUCAAAAUUUGGCGAAAUUUUAUGAAAAUUAAGCAGUACACAAAACAUCACCUAAAGAUGCUGUUAAAUUUUUCAGAAUAACCAAAAUCAGUAACAUUUGUCAAAAUUUAGCAAAAUUUGCAUAGAACAUUAUGAAAUAAUAUUAGAGUCAAAAAUUUGUCCUCUUCAGGUCAAUAAAACACUCCCAUUUCUUGAGCUUCGGCGUUUGAAAUUCCUACACUUUGAAUUUUUUAAUUCUUGGAAGAAAAUAUUCCGAAAAAACUUUUAACAAAUGAAUUUUUCGUACACAAGUAGGUAUUUCAAAUCAAAAAAAUAUUUUCCCUCCCCUCCCCCUCCGUUUUGAAAGAUUUAAAAAAUUGGAAAAAGUGGUCUGGCUGACAGACUGGACACCCUGUAUUGAACACAUCUUUAAAAAUAUUGACUGGCAUUAAAAAAAAAAAUCACUCGAAAAAUAGUCUGCAAAAAGACCUAGGGCCUAGGAGGUGGGGACAAGAGAGAAAGAAUUAAAUGGACAUGUCCUCUUACGCUAUAACACAUUCGUCUAAAACACGUACGAAGUUCACACGAGUAUUAUCCAUUACACCUUUUAAAUUUAUCCGUAUCGAAAAUAUUAAUAGAGUAGGAGAAAAAAGAACAAUAAUUCGCGCCAAUACAUGCGUUUAUUUUAUUCGACAAAAUGAAAACGCCAUGAUGAAAAAAAAAAAAACGAAUCGAUGAAAAAAAUGGAAGACAACGGCGCGUAAAAAAUUAUUACAUUGAUGCUAUAAUCACCUAGGAGUAUUUGAAACCAUACAUGUUGAAAGAACAAAAAAAAAAUGAAUACAGAGAUGCAUUCGAGGGAGGAGACGACGCUCAGAUGAAAAUUGCGAUGCGCUGGGCACAGCAUCCUCGUACGGUCCAUGUCUGAGAGGGCAGGGAAAAGAGGAAGCCCUAUUGUAACGCUGAUUAUCGGUUUUUGCGCACGAUUUGAAAUUUACUUUCGUCUCGUAUUAUUGGCUAACGUAUGUGCUGGUUUUGCUUUUUGAUUCGCAGAGUUGACCGCACAGACUGGAGCCGAAUGCAGACGAUUAAUAGGACCAGAUACACGCUUGUUGUGAAACGAAGAAGCGAUUUUGCGCCGUAAAUGUCCGAUAAGGCAAUUGCAAGAGUACAUAUAGCCAUUGAGAGUAUAUUGUUUCGCUGCAUCGUCUGACGCGAACAAAUAAAUAGUGCUGGAAGAGAUGUCUGCUGGAGAGUUUUUUUUUCUCCUCGUUGACCAACUAGGAAUGGAAAUGAGGAGCUGCGGUGUACUAGGAUGAAUUAAUAGAGUCAGGAGGACCGUAAGUCACCGAUGUAAUCCUUUAAAUCAACGUCGUCGUCGAAUGAAACACCUGCGACUACUGGGAGAUCUCGACGAGCUUUGCAGAGUUCAUUUUUCUACGAUGUGUAUAAAUUCCACCUGUGUUCGGAUGCUGAUUUAGUGGCAACGAUUACGAGUGCUCAUUUCGAUCCUCAUCAAGUGCUGGUUUCCGUAUUCAAGAAUUUGCAUAAUUGUGAUUUAUUACAACAUAUCGUAUGUUGUUACAAAUCAAGACGAAACUUUGGACACGUAUUUGGAAUGACUACUGGCUCAAUUGAUGUAGAAAAUUCACAGUCGAUGUAACGAAAUGGCCAAAACGUGAAUACGUUCUCAGCAACAUCGGAUAAACUUUGAUGGCAGUGAAAUUCAAACCGUGUUGGGUCUGGCAAAGAAACAGGACACGUAUUAUGAAUCACUACUGGCUCAAUUGAUGUAGAAAAUUCACAGUCGAUUGAACGAAAUUGCCAAAACGUGAAUACGUUCUCAGCAACAUCGGAUAAACUUUGAUGGCAGUGAAAUUCAGACCGUGUUGGGUUUGGCAAAGAAACAGGAUAUCUGGAACGACUACCGACUCAAUUGAUGUAGAAAAUUCACAGUCGAUGAAACGAAAUGACAAAAACGUGAAAAUGUUCUCAGCAACAUCGGAUAAACCUUUAUGGAAGUGAAAUUCAGAUCGUGUUGCGUUUGGCAAAGAAACAGGUACCUCGUCUCAAGAAAUCAGCCACGAUGAAUUCCUCCACAAUCGACUCAACCAGCCUGGAACCAAAUCCAGAGCCACCACUUCGAACCACCAAAAUGAAAAAAAAAGGCAAUCAUACAGACAGACGAUAAAACACAUCCGCAAUCAUCCAUCUCUCCAGAGUCCAAAACGUUGAAAAACUCUAACCAAACCACUUGAAAAAUAAAAAAAAUGCAGCAAAGAUGCGUCUGAAGUACAUACCUACACAUAGAAGGCGAUCUAGAGAGACUAUAGGAACUCGGACAAGGGACGAAAACUCCUCCAGAGACCGAAAAAUACAGAUACAUAAUCAGCUCAGCUGGCCCCGUAAGU